rnacentral:rRNA from 1 species
GACGAACGCUGGCGGCGUGCCUAAUACAUGCAAGUCGGACGCAGUUGGGAACGGGUUAGUAACGCGUAGGUAACUACCUAUUCGAGGGUGCUAACUAUUGGAAACGAUAGCUAAUACCGCAUACUUGUAGAAGGACCUGCUUUGUAUUAGCUAGUAGGUCGGGUAAUGGCCUACCUAGGCAACGUUACAUAGCCGACGUGGGAGGGUGAACCGCCACACUGGGACUGGGAAAAGGGCCAAGAUCCUUAGGGGAGCAGCAGUUGGGAAAUUUCGGCCAUGGGGGGAACCCUGACCGAGCAACGCCGCGGGAGUGAAGAAAGUCUUCGGAGCGUAAAGCUCUGUUGUUAAGGGAGCGGUACUUAACCAGAAAGCGACGGCUAACUACGUGCCAGCAGCCGCGGUAAUAC